rnacentral:tRNA from 1 species
CGGGGUGUAGCGCAGCCUGGUAGCGCACCUGUUUUGGGAGCAGGGGGUCGGAGGUUCAAAUCCUCUCACCCCGA